UCUGUAUUCAGGUCCUGUGUGGGAGCUGGCGUGUCGCACUGACUGCCACGUCCAUUCGGAUCUACUGUGUACACUGAAGACUGAGCUGCUUCCAUCCCCUGAGUGACAGAUUAAUUGAUGACUUCAUGAAUUCAUUAUUACCAUCUCCUAUAAACACGCACGACACCAGACCUAAUAUACACACAGUGAUGGGAAGAAGAAGGCUCAAAGGGAAAGACUCCAGUUCCUUCUAAAAAUUCUGGAGAAAUUCUGCUUUCCUCCCCAUUGCAACUGAUGAACAUCCACCAACAACCAAGCAAAGUUUUAUUCUUUAAUGUCAGAAGAGUCAUGGCAGUUUUUCCACUAAACACAUCCUUUGAAUAUGAAGUUAAAAUCAGAGUUGGUUAGCUUUUGUUAGCGGAAAGAUCUGAAGCAAGAGGAAACAUGGUGGCCUGGCUCUUUGCAAGAAUAACACAACCCACCUACCAGCACCCCUACAGCUCUCUAAUUAACACAUUGUGGUUUUACAGAGAGGAUCAGCCACAACAUUAAACCUACUGAAAGGUGACGUGUGUAAUCAUUAGGUCACAAUGCAAUGCCCUCCUGGGAAACUGAGUCCUUGCAUUCUUGGGAUGUUACUUUGAAACCCAUCUGAAGACCAAGAAUACCCCAACAUGGCAACAAUAUUCUCCUCACUACACCUAAAAAACUGCUCAGGAGCAACUCAGGGAACAUGGCAAAGAGCCUAAGGCCUUUAUCCAACCUCCUAAAGCCCGAGAUCCCAAUCUGAUGGACGUGUCAGAACGAGCCCAACCCAUGGAAGCCCCACCAAGCAACCCAAACAACCCAGAGGAUCUGCCUAAGUCCCACUGCCAGACACCACUGGACACCCCAAGAGGUCCUGUGUACAUAAUCAAUGAUUAAAAGCUGUUUUAAGCAGUCGAAAUGGGACCUACACAAUACUAAGCAGGGGGUUUUAAUGUUGUGGCUGAUGGAAAUAGCUUAGCUUAGCAUUUAUCCCACGUACCAGCACCAGUCUCUGUUCAAUAAAGCGUAUUUCUCAAACGUCAGACUGUUCCCUCAACUCUCUAUUGUGCUGUGCUGUCCACCGU
ensembl:lncRNA